rnacentral:rRNA from 1 species
UACGUAGGGUGCGAGCGUUAAUCGGAAUUACUGGGCGUAAAGCGUGCGCAGGCGGUUUUGUAAGACAGCUGUGAAAUCCCCGGGCUUAACCUGGGAACUGCGGUUGUGACUGCAAGACUGGAGUAAGGCAGAGGGGGGUGGAAUUCCACGUGUAGCAGUGAAAUGCGUAGAGAUGUGGAGGAACACCGAUGGCGAAGGCAGCCCCCUGGGCUAUUACUGACGCUCAUGCACGAAAGCGUGGGGAGCAAACAGG